rnacentral:lncRNA from 1 species
CUAGCCUUACCGAUGUCCAUAUCCAUAAAGGACACAUACUCAAAUAUCGACUGCUUGAGGAACUUCAUAUCGUCCUCUGAAGAAACAGAAGGACAACUGGCUGAAGCAGGGCGAGAUGUUUUGACUUGCCCCCAGGAAGCGAACAAGUCUUGAAUGGAAUGCACAAUUUUAUCAGCAUCCUACAAAGAAAAUCGCCAAUAUUGAAGGCUUCCACUACACUAAACAAAGUGGAGGUAAAGGUAAAGCAAAGAUUACCUCAUCAGCAAUCUUGGAAGAUGGCAUAUCCCCAUCCAAAUCUGCCACCUCUGGUUCCACCAUUUGUGAGGAUUUCCCCUUGUCUAAGCGAGAAGACCUUGCCGCAACGGGCAAACUCAUAGGAGCAUCUACAGAACUCAAAAGACAACAAAACAACACCAAUAGCACAAGCAAAGGUAAAGCAUAAAAAAAUGAAUUACCUUCUGCUUCGACAUUUGGGGGUCAACGCCCUGGGAAGAAGGUGGCUCGUCCAUUGGUUGUGAUGAAGAUUCUAGGACUGAAGGUUUCUCUUUAAGCGUAGCCCCUUCAUCAGCAGGUUUGGACGAAUCAGCCUCAGUAGAGGAUGAUGGAGCAGGAGCUGCCAACACCAAAGCCUUCAAGGGAGAGGUAGAACUUUUCUGAGAGGUCCAAAUAAACUAUGAGUACAUGGAAAAGCCUCAAGUAUAGAAGGGUAUGCUUAUGAGUAAACCGAUUUAAUUACCUUCCUCCUGACGAUGAGAGGGGUCUCAUCAUCAUCAUCAGCAUCAUCCUCCAAAAUGGGAGACGCUGAGGCUGACCGUUUGCGGCUUGGGGCACUUUUAGCUGCAGUGGGCUUGGCAGG